rnacentral:lncRNA from 1 species
AUUGCACAUCUUAUGUUGUAUUAAUUUUUUUUGUUUUAAUUUUUUCCCUCCAUGCAUAUGUGCCCAGAUAGCACUUUCCACUUAAAAAGAGUUAUCAAGUGUGGGAGUGUAGCUCGGUGGUAAAGCAUGAGUUUAGCAUGUGUGAAGCCCUGGGUUCAAACCCCAGAACCAGAAAAAUAGAUAAGAUAGAUGGACAGACAGAGAGAUAAACAAAUAUAUUUGUUAUGGUAGCAAAUUAUUAAAAAGACAGGAAGAGUUUUUUCAGGACUUGUAAGAAAGUUACAUGAAAUAGCCACUACCUGUGAGCUCCAGACAGCUUAAAAUACUUUACUGGUAGAAAUCAGAUUUUUAAGGAUAACUUCAAACUAGAUUAUCACUUGUUUCCUGCCGUUGCAAAGAAAGAGACUCUGACAUUGUUUUACUUUGCAAGAAUCAUGCUAGGUUGAUCUGUGGGAGGGGUUCCACUUGCAGAAGACAGAGCUGCAGCAAAGAGAAGUUAAAGUCUCCCCAAGGACUCUGGGCUUUCCCAGAAGGAAGAAUUAAAGAUGAGCAUUUUCAAGGUAAGUAGAGCUUGUUUUUUCACUAGUAAAAAUGCACUUUAUGUUGGGUACUGAUGGCUCACGUUUGUGACAUGGGAGGCUGAGAUUGUGAGGAUCACAGUUUGAGGCCAACCCCUGCAAAAAACUUCCAGAGAUCCCCAUUUCAGCAGAACAAAAGCACCUGUUAUCCCAGCUAUAGCAAAAGCCUGAAAUAAGAAAAUUGUGGUUCAGACAGACCUGGGCAAAAAAAAAGAUCCUGUCUCUAAAAUAACCAGUGCAGAAAUGGGUGGUGGUGUGGCUCAAGUGGUAGAGCACCUGCCUUGCAAACCCUGACUUCAAACCCCAGUCUCAUACAUAUCCAAAAAAAGCCACAUCAAUAGUUAGAGAUUAGAAGUUUUCUUUUUCAAGAGAGCCUGGCAUUUGAGGUGUUCCUUUUAAAUUCAAGUGGCUUUGGUUUUGUUUUUGUUUCAUUUCAUCACUUUUUAACUUGCAAAUAUAGGUAGAAAAUUAACAGAUGUAAGUGAAAUCUCCUUUAUGUCUAUUCUGCUUACAAAUUGGCUGCUUUUAAAUUACUGUAACAUCAUCAUAUUGUUUAUAGUUACAUAUUUGUGUUUAUAACAUAGAUACAUUUUGUUUGGUGGUAUGGGGGAUUGAACUAAGUGCCUGAGCUGGCUAGGCAAGCGCUCUGCCAUUUGAAUAUGUCCCCAGUCCUUUUGCUUUUAGUUUGUUUUU